rnacentral:tRNA from 1 species
UCCCUAGUGGCUCAGAUGGUAAAGAAUCUGCCUGCAAUGCAGGAGACCCAGGUUCAAUCCCUGGGUUGGGAA